AUUCUGCUCCCUCCAUUGCACAAUACAUGCCUUCUAUUUGUCAAAAUAUAUAUGUAUCUAGACAUGUUUUAGUAUAUAGGUACAUCCAUUUUUGGACAAAUGGAAGUCAAGUAUUUUGGAAUGGAGGGAGUACACA
rfam:Triticum aestivum genome assembly, contig: Triticum_aestivum_CS42_TGACv1_scaffold_641919_T_5BS-0.193019_5BL-0.170817